rnacentral:rRNA from 1 species
UAGAGUUUCGUAGUCCUCGGCGUCAGGAUAAACGACUGGCGGCGCACAUAAGACAUGCAAGUCGAACGAACGUUAAACCACUUAGUUUACUAUUGGAGCGGUUAGUGGCGGACUGGUGAGUAACACGUAAGCAACCUAGCCUAGUCAGAGGGGAACAACAGUUAGAAAUGACUGCUAAUACCGCAUAUGCCUAAGUACCACAUGGUACAAUAGGGAAAGGAGCAAUCCGCUGAUAGAUGGGCUUGCGUCUGAUUAGAUAGUUGGUGGGGUAACGGCCUACCAAGUCGACGAUCAGUAGCCGGACUGAGAGGUUGAACGGCCACAUUGGGACUGAGAUACGGCCCAGACUCCUACGGGAGGCAGCAGUCGGGAAUAUUGCGCAAUGGAGGAAACUCUGACGCAGUGACGCCGCGUGCAGGAAGAAGGUUUUCGGAUUGUAAACUGCUUUAGACAGGGAAGAUAAAAGACAGUACCUGUAAAAUAAGCUCCGGCUAACUACGUG